rnacentral:rRNA from 1 species
GGUAGCAUAAUCACUUGCCCNUUAAUUGUGGGNUAGAAUGAAAGGNCUAACGAANNNNAAACUGUCUCUAUAAGUGACAUAAAAAUUAAUCUCUAACUGAAGAUUGUUAGAUAUCGUCGAAGGACAAGAAGGCCCUAUAGAGCUUUAUUUUAAUAAAUAACUAUAAUUUAUAUAAAUUCGGUUGGGGCGACCAGGGAAAUUAAAUAUCAUCCCUUAAUAGCAGAUAACUCAAUCACACACUUGACCCUUUACCAAAGAUCAUCAAAACAAGCUACCUUAGGGAUAACAGGCUAAUCCCACUAAAGAGUCCUUAUCAAUAGUGGGGUUUGGCAC